CUUAAACGAUAUGAUAUUCAGGCCAUCAGUUAGGGAUGUACGGAAAUGAUUUCUCGGGUACGAAAUGCUAAAUAAUUAAAUUUAAGUUUCUGGCCCAAUUUUAAUGAGUUCUUCAUUUUAGCCCAAGAUGUUUAGGCUAAAGCCUGAGUCUUGAACCCAGUCAGAGCACGCGGCGAGUUGUUGCUUCUUUCAUCAGCAAUCCGCGUCUGUCGGAAGUGACUCAGAGAGCAGCAUUUUAAUCUUUGAAAAAGUUGCAUGCUAAGAAGAUGAAGAUUGUUGACAAAAGAGCCUCUAAGAGUCGCAAGAUAAGGUACAAUGUUGAUGAGAAGAUAGUAAAUUUCAUGGCUCCAGAGACCAUGGCCGUUUCUCCUAUGCUUCCUGACCUCAAUCAUUUGUUCGGGUUUAAGAAGCUGAAACCAGCUUUCGUAGUGUAGUAGCAAUGCAAGGCCGAAUCAGUUGUAUAGUCCUUAGAUCUCAGGCUAAGAAAUUGUCUGCUGUUAAUUUAUUUGAUAUAUUAGUCAAUCUAAUAUGUAUUGUACUGAUAUUUAUGUAAUUUACACAAUUUUUCAAUGGGAGCCCAGUCUUUAGGAAGCA